rnacentral:misc_RNA from 1 species
UACGAAGGGGGCUAGCGUUGUUCGGAUUUACUGGGCGUAAAGCGCACGUAGGCGGGCUUUUAAGUCAGGGGUGAAAUCCCAGAGCUCAACUCUGGAACUGCCUUUGAUACUGGAAGUCUUGUGUAUGGAAGAGGUGAGUGGAAUUCCGAGUGUAGAGGUGAAAUUCGUAGAUAUUCGGAGGAACACCAGUGGCGAAGGCGGCUCACUGGUCCAUUACUGACGCUGAGGUGCGAAAGCGUGGGGAGCAAACAGG